rnacentral:miRNA from 2 species
GGCUUGUUUUAAGUUGCCUG